rnacentral:rRNA from 1 species
AUUGAACGCUGGCGGCAUGCCUUACACAUGCAAGUCGAACGGCAGCACGGAGCUUGCUCUGGUGGCGAGUGGCGAACGGGUGAGUAAUAUAUCGGAACGUACCCUAGAGUGGGGGAUAACGUAGCGAAAGUUACGCUAAUACCGCAUACGAUCUAAGGAUGAAAGUGGGGGAUCGCAAGACCUCAUGCUCGUGGAGCGGCCGAUAUCUGAUUAGCUAGUUGGUAGGGUAAAAGCCUACCAAGGCAUCGAUCAGUAGCUGGUCUGAGAGGACGACCAGCCACACUGGAACUGAGACACGGUCCAGACUCCUACGGGAGGCAGCAGUGGGGAAUAUUGCGCAAUGGGCGAAAGCCUGACGCAGCCAUGCCGCGUGUGUGAAGAAGGCCUUAGGGUUGUAAAGCACUUUCAAUUGGGAAGAAAAGUUUGUCGUUAAUAGCGCCAAGCUCUGACAUUACCUUUAGAAGAAGCACCGGCUAACUCCGUGCCAGCAGCCGCGGUAAUACGGAGGGUGCGAGCGUUAAUCGGAAUUACUGGGCGUAAAGCGCGCGUAGGCGGUUUGUUAAGUCAGCUGUGAAAGCCCCGGGCUCAACCUGGGAACUGCAGUUGAUACUGGCCGACUAGAGUACGAGAGAGGGAGGUAGAAUUCCAUGUGUAGCGGUGAAAUGCGUAGAUAUAUGGAGGAAUACCAGUGGCGAAGGCGGCCUCCUGGCUCGAUACUGACGCUGAGGUGCGAAAGCGUGGGGAUCAAACAGGAUUAGAUACCCUGGUAGUCCACGCCGUAAACGAUGUCUACUAGUUGUCGGGUCUUAAUUGACUUGGUAACGCAGCUAACGCGUGAAGUAGACCGCCUGGGGAGUACGGUCGCAAG